UACGAGAGGCGCAAACGUUAUUCGGAAUUACUGGGCUUAAAGGGUGCGUAGGCGGCGUGGAAAGUUGGGUGUGAAAUCCCUCAGCUUAACUGAGGAACAGCGCCCAAAACUACCAUGCUCGAGGGAGAUAGAGGAAUGCGGAACUUAGGGUGGAGCGGUGAAAUGCGUUGAUAUCCUAGGGAACACCGGUGGCGAAAGCGGCAUUCUGGAUCUCUUCUGACGCUGAGGCACGAAAGCUAGGGUAGCAAACGGG
rnacentral:rRNA from 1 species